rnacentral:lncRNA from 1 species
CUCAGGACCCCGAGGCAAAAAGGAGAGAAUGAGGCUUCUUUGUGCUUCCUGACUUUCCAAGGACAGACACGGGUCUGAUGGGAAAGAGAUGGCAUUUUUCCCUCUGGGGGCAACCCGAGUGUGUUCCUUAGUUAGAAUCCACCCCUCCCUUGCCCUUAAAUCACUUAGACACAGCAAAAUUUUACGAACGCAACAAUUUAUUAGCAGACAAAUGAAAUGACAUCUCUGAAUCUCAAUACAUACAGGAUCUUAUGAGAUAAACAUCACCAACAGAGAUCAGAAGAACAGGGCCUGCCUCUGACUGACUCCCCUCUCCUGCAACGGAGGCUGCAAAAUCCGUCCGGAACCCACCCUCACUCCACAGGGGGCCAGGCGCGAUUUCAGCGGAAUUGCAUCAAGGCACUUUCUUUAAUUAAAAAAGACAUACGUGGUAUAAGACAAAUUCCACAAAGUCAUCAGCCUUGAAUAACUACGAAGAAAGGCAGUGUCCUUAGGCUGGGAUUUUAGGUUCCUUCACCUGUCACGCUGGUAUCGCCUGGGCUUAUAUGAGAAACGGCAAAGGAGACCCAAAAAGGAAGUUUUAUACACACUGAUUCGUGCACACUAAUUUUUGACAAAUCAUGGCAGUGUCAGAACUCAACCAGGAACUUCCAACGGAUGUGAGCUGACAAGGCAAGAGGGUUUCAUUCCAAGCGACUCAUUACUUUACGGACCGGAGAGGUGGCGUCGGAGAACCUCCCUAAAAGGAGCUUCUUAAAAUUGCUGCUAAAAAUCCUCUCUGGCUGAAGCCAGCUGUUCGUUUGCCAAGUAAAAAGCCCUCCGUUAGAAAUUCUCCUAUUGGUAUUUUUAAUACGAUCGUAAUUCUUCAGCCAAUUUCAGAGCCAUAAUUCAAGUCCAAGAAAGUUAUACAGAUUCCAGAGCAGAUGUACAGCAGGGCAUCUCCAGGAAGGCAUCAGUGCCCUUCCUUGGCCAGCUCUCUCCAUCCACACGCCUCCCUCCUGUCUCACAACGCCAAGAAAAGACUAAAACACACACCGAAAAAAAACCACCAUUUGUGAUUCCUCUGAACUCCACCGCCUCCUUCCUCAUUCCUGGCAAGGAUCCUAACGAAAGAGCCAAAAUGGGCUUGAGGGGCACAGCCCCUCUGCACACCGUGCCUCCCUGUCCCCCGUCCACGCGCACCUGCAAGGGAGACACCCUCCGCUCCCCAGUCGGGCUCCGGGCGCCUGCAACAGAAAAGAGG